rnacentral:rRNA from 1 species
GAUGAACGCUGGCGGCAGGCCUAACACAUGCAAGUCGAACGAGUGGCGGACGGGUGAGUAAUGGCUGGGAAACUGCCUGAUGGAGGGGGAUAACUACUGGAAACGGUAGCUAAUACCGCAUACCAUCGGAUGUGCCCAGAUGGGAUUAGCUUGUUGGUUGGGUAACGGCUCACCAAGGCGACGAUCCCUAGCUGGUCUGAGAGGAUGACCCGCCACACUGGAACUGAGACACGCUCCAGACUCCUACGGGAGGCAGCAGUGGGGAAUAUUGCACAAUGGGCGCAAGCCUGAUGCAGCCAUGCCGCGUGUAUGAAGAAGGCCUUCGGGUUGUAAAGUACUUUCAGCGGGGAGGCGUUACCCGCAGAAGAAGCCCCGGCUAACUCCGUGCCAGCAGCCGCGGUAAUAC